UACAAGCAAGUGUUGAUUUUUCACACUAAUGGGAAACAAGAAUAGACUGGAAAAAGUUCCCUAAAAACCCAUUUAGUCUGUAUCUUUUUAUCUUUUGUCAGUUACUAAUGUGUAACCAGAUGACCCAAGCUGAGUUUCACCACCUCUCCUUUCUUUAUUCUUACCAAUCCAUUCCAAGUGCUAAUGAAUGGUGAGGUCUGGGAACCCAAAGAUACAAGAAAGAAGGCAUAUGGAUGAUAGAAAAAAGGUAAGUCGAGAGAGAGAGAGAGCUGCAAUUUGACACCACAUCUUCUUUUUUAAAAAGCCUGACUUCCAGUCUAAUUUCCUCAGAAAGCAUAGCACCGUAUUGGGAGACAAUAACUUGAUUUACCUGCAGAAUUACUACGAAAUUCAUUCAUUUAUUCAACAGCAUUGAGUGAGCAUCUAGCUGAGACCAGCCAGGGAAAGUACCGAGAAAAAGGACAGAUACAAAUGGAGGAGAAGAGAAGGGGGAAGCCUAAGAGAAAGGAGCCCAGAAGGAAGAGAAAGCAUCCAGCCUCUGCCUUGGAAAGCUGACACCUCAAGGCAGAAGACUUUGGCCCUUGGGAAAUACACUACAAGAGUCCUAGACCCACUGACUAACACAAAAGUACAGAACUCCAAAUAUGAAAACCCACCUGCUUACACAUUGGCCCCUGGCCUGCUUUUGAAUGUGAUCCAUAAGUCAUUUCAUUUAUGAUCCUAUUCAAAAGAUAGGACCAAUAUGUCAUCACAUAAAAUUCCACACACACACAUGUCCAGAAUUGCAAAUGGAAAUUUUUACUACAAAAAUUAUUUGGGAAUCUGUGUGUCAUUAGGGAUCACAUUGCUGUCAAUGUGACAAAUUUCAGGAAAAAGUAAGAGGAGCAGAGUAUUGUGAUGAAAAGAUCUAGACUGACUCAUACUCUUAAGUUCUGAACAGAAAGCUGCCAAUAACAAUUACAUGCCUUAAACAAGUCACCGAACCCCUCUGCACCUCAGUUUCUUCAUCUGUAAAAUGAGAAAUUACAACUAUGUUUGCUACAUUCCCCAUCUGGCGCUACAAUGGUGUGACCAUGAUUUUAUCCCUUGCCUCCGACCAACAAUAACAUCUGUAGCCAGCUAGAAUUUCUUCACUGCAUCCAAGAGGGCAAAGCCCAUUUUUCAAACCCUUUCCUUAGAGAAAUAAAAUGGAUAAAAGAUGAAUUGGGAAGGGGUGGUAGCCCUGCAUUUAAGUCUUCUUAGCACUCCCAUGACCGUGUAAUGAUGACAAAUGGCCGUUUCAUCAGAGGAAGCUGUCAGUGAUAGCCAUUGCGUUUCUAAUGCUAAAAUGAUUUUCCCACAAAAAAAAUCACUUUUCUAAAAUGAGGCAUCAGAAAACAGACAGAGAAAGGAAACUAAAGGAAAGGAAGGAAAAGAGAGACAGAGAAAAGGGGAGAAACACUUCUGUAUAUCUGACAUAUUCUUUGUUCAACGAACACUAUCAGUAAUGAUGGAGGUGGGAACUUGAAUAGAAGAUAAAAGAGCUGAGAUAUCAAAGACAAAGUAAACAUAAUUCAUCUAUUAUGACAUUGCCUAGGUUAGCACACAUGGCUGGAAAGAGUCCAACAGCAUAUGAGUGAUUCUGGAAUAAAAGAGAAGUUGGGCAUCAUGUAAAAUUAAGAGAGGUUCUUUUUCCACAGAACAACUUCAACAGUGGCAAGGCCGAAUUCUUAAACAUAAUCACACACCAGAAAUUGUGACAUCUCUGAGCAGAUGCUAAGGGACCUCUUUGAUGCGAAAGUUAAAACUAAAUCUUCUGGGUUACUCUUCCUUGACUUUCCUAUCCACCCUACAGUAAGUGAGGUCAAAGAGCACCCUAUCCUUUUGCUGCUCAUGUAACAAAGGAAAACAGUCUUGCUUACUUUUAAGAAGACAUAGCAGAGCCUUCUGCAGUGCAGUUUGCAGACAAUGUCAUCUGGAGACUCUGGGAACAUAGGCUGGGAAAUGUAUAGAGUUGCAGUUAUAUGGAUGUCAUGGUGACAGAGGAUUGGGUUGAUGUGUGUGAUAUGCCCUACCAAGGCAGCAAUUCUAUGACUUGUUUAGAGUUUUGGAGUCUGGACAUGCUAUUACGACCUCUUUGACUUAGAGUAACACCUACAUAUUGCUCUCUGGAACACUUUAACCUCUCCCUCCAGAUUCAUCUCCUUCUGUUCCUUCACUCCCCUUCCAUGUACUUUGCAGCCCAGCAACAAAUUACAUGACAUUCCCAAAUCUGCCAUGCCUGUGCUUAUCCUUAUGCCUUGGCUCAUGUUUUUUUCCUGCCAAGAAUAACCUUUUCUAGCCCUUUCAAGUCUAGAGAAAUCUUCAUCAUAUUGACUCAGCUUCACUCUGCUACCUCUCUUCUUUGUACCACUAUCUUCUCAGCCCUCAUCACACUGCACUGAAAGCUACAGUUACACAGGUUUUAUACUUGUUAGACUAUGCUGUUAUGCCUAUGAGCAGCAUGUAAUAAAUAGGAGGCAGCCAAUGCAUCAUUUGAAUUUUCUUAAGUUCAAUUCGAUUCAAAUGAAUUGUGUAGAACUCAUUCCGUGAUAUCCCCCAAAAUAAUUAAAGAUACCUUGAGAGGUCAGUAAAUCAGUCCUGACAUGUGCCUAGUUACCUGCACAAAGUUCCCAUAGGCAACAAAAGACAAUAGAGCAAAAUAAAUUUUAAUUUUGGAUAAGUCACUUCCAGUUUACUAGGAUUUUCUAAACCAGUAUCUAAGGGACUUGGGACCAAGUUACAUAAUAUGUAAAUAAUUCUGCGUCAUUUUCCUCAUUUGAAAAUAAGAAUAAUAGCAUUUUCUCUAGCUGGAGAGAUGAUGACAUUGUAUAACAUUUAUGAAAAGAAGUUAAAACUCAUGAAGCCAGAUGCUUGAUGUUAAUCUUUAAAACCUGCUUUGAAGUGCAUACAUAUAGUCUUUCGGUAAAUGGACUAUGCUGCAAAGGUUUUUAAUUACCAUGCAAUACUUGACUCCUCUCUCAUGUCACAUCCAACCCCUCAGGAAAUUUCAUCAGCUCGACCUUCAAAGUGCGAAUCAAUACAAACUCUUGAUAUUUAAAGACAUAGUGUUUUAACUUUUAAAAUAUAAUGGUAUUAUAGUUGGACUUUUAAAAAUAGUCAUCAUCCUUUGGAAGUGUAGACGGAAAUAUUUACAAAUGAAACAUCAUAGUUGAAGCUGGGCGAUGUGUACAUGAAGGAUCGUUAUGCUCUUCCACUUCUGUAAAGAUUUGAAAACGUUCACAAUAAAAUGUCAGAUCAGGUCAUUCCUCUCUUUCAAACCUUUAAUUGGAUUUUCGACUCACUCAGAGUAAAAGCCAGAGUCCUGAGGACUCUGUCCCCCACGUUCCUCUCCUUACUCACCUCCAACUUCUUUUUUUUUCUUUUUUCUUUUUCUUUUUUUUUUUUUUUGAGACAGGGUCUCGCUCUGUCACCCUGACAUGAUCUCAGCUCACUGCAACCUCCACCUCCUGGACUCAAGUGAUCCUCCCAUCUCAGCCUCCCAAGUAAUUUGAUCCUCCCAUCUCAGCCUCCCAAGCAAUUGGGACUACAGAUGCAUGCUACCACAUCUGGCUAAUUUUCUUUGUAUUUUUUUGUAGAGAUGGGGUCUCACCAUGUUGCCCAGGCUGGUCUCAAGCUCCUGGGCUCAGGUGACCCAUCUGCCUCAGCCACCCAAAGUGCUGGGAUUACAGGUGUGAGUCACCAUGCCCGGCACCUCCAACUUCUUACUCCGUGCCAGCCAUGCUGGCCUCUGUACCUCAAGACACCAGGGAUGUUCCCACAUCAGGGCCUCUUCCCUGCUGUGCCCUCAGCCUAAAUUGCUUUUCACCAGGAUAUCUCAUGGUACUAUUCCCUCCCUUAUUCAAGACUUUGCUUAAAUGUCACCUGUGUAAUGGAAUCUUUCCCAAUUUGUCAAUUUGUCCCAUUAGACAAAUAGAUCAAUAGUUCACUGAUCUAUUCCCAGUGCUGAUAACAAUACCUGGCAUAGAGUAGAUGGUCAAUGAAUAUGUGUUGAAUGAAUAAAUGAGCAACGUGGGUCAGCCACCCCAUGAAGUUAGCUGGAGGUUUUACAACAUCAACAGAGUGAGGUAAGAGCACGGGAGACAAGCCACCAUGGUCACUGUAAACCAGGCUGCCAAACUGAUUUCAAUUACUGCUUACAAGGAGGAAGAACAAGGAUCCCAUGUGGUGCCUAGGAAGUCAACAAAGUUAAUAAAGCAGAGUUUUCUAGAGCCUGAGGAUCAAGUAUCCAGUAGGAAAGCUGCCCUUUUACUUUUCAGAAACAUCUAUCCCAGGCCUCGCAGCACAGGCUGACACAUUCUAGCCUCUGCAUUGGAAGAGCUUCCUCUCAUUUCUAGACACUAUCCUCUCAUGGUUUUGUCUAGACAGCGGAAUCAGAAGCAACCUAAAAUCUCUGAAUAUAAGGCUCAAAUUCCCAGGCUGUAACUCAUUCGCUCUUAUGUUCCUAUAAGAUUUGGCCUUGCAAAGAAGAAAAUCAACUAUAUAUCUUUAUUGCCCUUAUAGGUGGUAUUUAUAACUUUUUGUAUUGAGCUCAGAAAUCCACUUCCUGAUGCUCCUGCUGUAGUCUAAGCAUGCUAUGCGAAGCAAGGUGUGAGCAUGCCAUGAAGCCAAAGCCAAACCACACAACCAACUUUCAAUUCCUUCCCCGCCACCCCCCUCCCCGCAUCCCAGGGCUUUCUGCUCAACCUGGCUCAUGUCCAACUGGGGCAAAAUCACUCAGCUGUUACCUAGUCACCUCCACUUCCACCUGCAAAAGCAACCAAAUUCCUAAGUACCCAGAACCCUGGAAAACACAUUUCUUUCUUUUUUUUUUUUUUUUUUUUUGAGAUGGAGUCUUGCUCUGCCACCCAGGCUGGAGUGCAGUGGCAUGAUCUUGGCUCACUGCAACCUCCACCUCCUGGGUCCAAGUGAUUCUCCUGUCUCAGCCUCCCGAAGAGCUCGAUUACAGGCACGUGUCACCACACUUGGCUAAUUUUUGUAUUUUUGGUAGAGACGAGGUUUCUCCAUUUUGGCCAGGCUGGUCUCAAACUCCUGACCUCAGGUGGUCCACCUGCCUUGGCCUCCCAAAGUGCUGGGAUUACAGGCAUGAUCCACCAUACCUGGCCAACAACACAUUUCUAACCCUCACUCUGGCUCUUACUCCCAAACAUGCCUUCCAUCGUGACUCUGGGAAUUCUUUAACGGCCUCAGGUUAGGACUGAGUAAAAGGAAAUAUUUUGAGGACCUGAGAAUUCUCACUUCCAUUCUUUUCCCAAAAAGCCUUCAGAGAAUUUUCCCCCAGAAAAUGGCACAAGUACAGUUAGUUAUCUGACCUAUAUUCCAAUAAUUUCUGGAGCAUUUCCUUGUCUCACUGUCUCCCAUGCAUAUCCUUUUGUUCACACCAUAGCUCUGAUUUCUUUACAAACCCAACCACGUAUUGGAGAGCCCCAGUCCCACAAGCCCGCUGUAACCAUGAAUCCCUUGUGCAGCAUGCCAUCUCCCAAGCCACCAGAGUCACGAUCAAGCUCUACCAAGGCAGCCACCCCCAAAGUGUUGCAACCUGAAUAGGUAGAGGAGGGGAGGGCAGAUCUCUUUAAUGUUUAUCUAGACAGGAGGUUUGCUUUUGUCUUCUAAAUCUUUCACACUUCAAAAAGCAUUUCAGAGAUUUAUUUCUCUGAAAUACUCUUUUCUGAAAUCCAAUUAAAAAAUAAGAUAAUUUCCCCAAGACAAAAAAGAAAGGUGCUAUUUUUAUAAUACUCAUGAUCUUACUCAUUCACAAAAGUUACCUAAUCCAUAGUUUUGAAAGCAAGAACUCUUUUUUUUCUUUUUUUUUUUGAGAUGGAGUCUCGCUCUGUUGCCCAGCCUGGAGUGCAGUGGUGCAAGCUUGGCUCACUGCAACCUACACCUCCUGGGUUCAAGUGGUUCUCCUGCCUCAGCCUCCCAAGCAGCUGGGACUGCAGGCGUGUGCCACCACGCCCGGCUAAUUUUUUGUAUUUUUAGUAGAGAUGAGGUUUCAUCAUGUUAGCCAGGAGGCCUUGGCCUCCCAAAAGCAAGAACUCUUUUUUACCAGAUUCUAUUUCUUCAUGUUCCCUUCAUACAUUGUAACAUUUUCCCUUAUACUUUAAGUAUCCUUCUUCUUAAAUGUUAGACCUAAAACCAUAAAAACCCUAGAAGAAAACCCAGGCAAUACCAUUCAGGACAUAGGUAUGGGCAAGGACUUCAUGUCCAAAGCACCAAAAGCAAUGGCAACAAAAGCCAAAAUUGACAAAUGGGAUCUAAUUAAACGAAAGAGCUUCUGCACAGCAAAAGAAACUACCGUCAGAGUGAACAGGCAACCUACAAAAUGGGAGAAAAUUUUUGCAAUCUACUCAUCUGAUAAAGGGCUAAUAUCCAGAAUCUACAAAGAACUCAAACAAAUUUACAAGAAAAAAAACAACAACCCCAUCAACAAGUGGGCGAAGGAUAUGAACAGACACUUCUGAAAAGAAGACAUUUAUGCAGCCAACAGACACAUGAAAAAAU
rnacentral:lncRNA from 1 species